rnacentral:rRNA from 1 species
UACGUAGGGUGCAAGCGUUAUCCGGAAUUAUUGGGCGUAAAGAGCUUGUAGGCGGUUUGUCGCGUCUGCUGUGAAAAUCCGGGGCUCAACCCCGGACUUGCAGUGGGUACGGGCAGACUAGAGUGUGGUAGGGGAGACUGGAAUUCCUGGUGUAGCGGUGAAAUGCGCAGAUAUCAGGAGGAACACCGAUGGCGAAGGCAGGUCUCUGGGCCACUACUGACGCUGAGAAGCGAAAGCGUGGGGAGCGAACAGG